rnacentral:rRNA from 1 species
ACAUACGACCAUAGGCGCUAGAGAACACGGGAUCCCGUCCGCUCUCCCCUAGUUAAACUACCGACCGCCGGACUAGUAGUUGGGUCGGUGACGACCAGCGAAUCCCUGGUGUUGUAUGUU